rnacentral:rRNA from 1 species
UACGUAGGGUGCGAGCGUUGUUCGGAAUUAUUGGGCGCAAAGCGCUCGUAGGCGGGACUGGAAGUCCGUGUUGAAAGACCUCGGCUCAACUGAGGGACCGGCUCGGAUACUCUAGUUCUUGAGGCAAUCAGAGGGUGAUGGAAUUCCCGGUGUAGCGGUGAAAUGCGUAGAUAUCAGGAGGAACACCAGUGGCGAAGGCGAUCACCUGGGGUUGUUCUGACGCUGAGGAGCGAAAGCUAGGGGAGCAAACGGG